UACGUAGGGUGCAAGCGUUAAUCGGAAUUACUGGGCGUAAAGCGUGCGCAGGCGGUUAUAUAAGACAGUUGUGAAAUCCCCCGGGCUCAACCUGGGAACUGCAUCUGUGACUGUAUAGCUAGAGUACGGUAGAGGGGGGGAUGGAAUUCCGCGUGUAGCGGUGAAAUGCGUAGAGAUCGGGAGGAACACCAGAGGCGAAGGCGGCGACCUGGACAAGUACUGACACUCAACUACGAAAGCGUGGGGAGCAAACAGG
rnacentral:rRNA from 1 species